rnacentral:tRNA from 1 species
GAGGCUGUAGCUCAGUGGUAGAGCACGUGCUUAGCAUGCACAAGGUCCUAGGUUCAAUCCCCAGUACCUCCA